UACGUGGGGUGCAAGCGUUUAAUCGGAAUUACUGGGCGUAAAGCGUGCGCAGGCGGUUUUGUAAGUCUGUCGUGAAAGCCCCGGGCUCAACCUGGGAAUUGCGAUGGAGACUGCAAGGCUUGAAUCUGGCAGAGGGGGGGUAGAAUUCCACGUGUAGCAGUGAAAUGCGUAGAGAUGUGGAGGAAUACCGAUGGCGAAGGCAGCCCCCUGGGCCAAUACUGACGCUCAUGCACGAAAGCGUGGGGAGCAAACAGG
rnacentral:rRNA from 1 species